rnacentral:rRNA from 1 species
UACGUAGGGCGCAAGCGUUGUCCGGAAUUAUUGGGCGUAAAGAGCUCGUAGGCGGCUUGUCGCGUCGAUUGUGAAAGCCCGGGGCUUAACUCCGGGUCUGCAGUCGAUACGGGCAGGCUAGAGUGUGGUAGGGGAGAUCGGAAUUCCUGGUGUAGCGGUGAAAUGCGCAGAUAUCAGGAGGAACACCGGUGGCGAAGGCGGGUCUCUGGGCAACAACUGACGCUGAGGAGCGAAAGCGUGGGGAGCGAACAGG